CAUUUCAGUCUCUCAAGAUGAGAUGCCCUGCUCAGUUCCUGGGACUGCUGCUGCUCUGGAUCCCUGGAUCUUGUGGAGACAUUGUGAUGACACAGACUCCACCCUUGCUGUCCAUCAACCCUGAAGAGCCAGCCUCCAUUUCCUGCAAGUCCAGUGAAAGUCCCCUGUAUAGUGAUGGAAACACAUAUUUGAAUUGGUACCUGCAGAAGCCAGGACAGUCUCCACAACCCCUGAUCUAUACAGUUUCCAACCGAUUUACUGGGGUCCCAGACAGGAUCAGUGGCAGUGGGUCAGGCAUGGAUUUCACACUGACAAUCAGCAGGGUGAAGCCUGAGGAUGAAGGGGUUUAUUACUGCCAACAGAGUUCAAAAUACCCUCACACUUUGCUACAGCCCACAACAAAAACCUCCCUGCAUGGGGCAGCCCAGCUGUGCCCAUGUUCUGCUUGCCUGGGGACCAGCAGGGCAGAUUCUCUGGGUCUGUGUGCAAGGACAAGGUUGGGCAACUCAGAGGCACAAACUGCAGCUGAGGUCUCUGUCCCAUGGGGGCCUCAGCUACACUCAACGAAACCCAUUAUUGGAUCUAGAGGGGAUAUGAUGCUGCAGAAUCGGUCUUCUAUGCAUCACCCCUAA